CGCGUAGGCGGGAUGGCAAGUCGGUCGUGAAAUCCUUCGGCUCAACCGAAGAACGUCGAUCGAUACUGCUGUUCUUGAGGAUUGCAGAGGAGACUGGAAUUCCCGGUGUAGCGGUGAAAUGUGUAGAGAUCGGGAGGAACACCGGUGGCGAAGGCGGGUCUCUGGGCAAUUCCUGACGCUGAGGCGCGAAAGCGUGGGGAGCAAACGGGAUUAGAUACCCCGGUAGUCCACGCUGUAAACGAUGACGACUAGGUGUGGGGGGGUUCAGUCCCCUCCAUGCCGCAGCUAACGCAUUAAGUCGUCCGCCUGGGGAGUACGGCCGCAAGGUUGAA
rnacentral:rRNA from 1 species